UUAAAGAAUGCUACAGUUGUUCUUAAAUUAAAAAAAAGCAUAUUCCAGAGGCCAGCUCCAUGGAGCAGUGAGCUAAGCCUCUGCUGUACCAGCAUCCUACAGGGGCUGGUUGGUGUCCCGGCUGCUCCCAUCCAGCUCCCUGCUUGUCGCUUGGGAAGGCAGGAGAGGACGGCCCUUUGGGUCUUGGGACCCUGCACGGGACGUGGGAGACCUGGAAGGAAAGUUCCUGAGUCUUGACUUUGGGUCAGCUCCGCUCCGGCGAGGGGAAAGCUUUCAGUACUACAUAAAAUAUGAAUCAGCAUCCUGUUGCUUUUUUACCUCACGAGGAGCCCAGAUGAGUCAGCAGUAGGAAGAACGGCUACUGAGCUGGGAUUCUUAGAUGCAUUGGAAGUAGUUGGAUCUCAGGAUGGAAGAAGUUAAGUGGCAGCCCUUAAUUACCGAAGACAAGGCUAGCGCGGACACAUCCCUGGCGCUGCGAACUCCCCGCCCAUUCCUGGCAGACUGGACUCUUGACCUGCUUUUCCGACGGCCUCGUGGCUGUCUGUUGAUCAUUCACGUCCGUUGUGUGGAUGCGUCGCAGACUGCAACAGACUGGGCCGCUGCUGAACCCGACUCACCUCCCUUCUGAAGAGCGGAUGGACCAUUAAGUGAGGAGCCUUUCAAAGAAGGAUUAAUCUUUUCUAGCCUACUUGCCGGAUGAGUCGCCAGGAGUUUGAAAUCUUUAAAAUUCAGCAUUUUGUC